rnacentral:rRNA from 1 species
UACGUAGGGGGCUAGCGUUGUCCGGAAUCAUUGGGCGUAAAGAGCGUGUAGGCGGCUCGGUAAGUCCGCUCUGAAAGCCCGGGGCUCAACCCCGGGAGGCGGGCGGAUACUGUCGAGCUAGAGUCCGGAAGAGGCGAGUGGAAUUCCUGGUGUAGCGGUGAAAUGCGCAGAUAUCAGGAGGAACACCGGUGGCGAAGGCGGUUCUCUGGGCCUUACCUGACACUGAGGAGCGAAAGCGUGGGGAGCGAACAGG